GAUGAACGCUGGCGGCGUGCCUAAUACAUGCAAGUCGAGCGAACAGACGAGGAGCUUGCUCCUCUGACGUUAGCGGCGGACGGGUGAGUAACACGUGGAUAACCUACCUAUAAGACUGGGAUAACUUCGGGAAACCGGAGCUAAUACCGGAUAAUAUAUUGAACCGCAUGGUUCAAUAGUGAAAGACGGUUUUGCUGUCACUUAUAGAUGGAUCCGCGCCGCAUUAGCUAGUUGGUAAGGUAACGGCUUACCAAGGCAACGAUGCGUAGCCGACCUGAGAGGGUGAUCGGCCACACUGGAACUGAGACACGGUCCAGACUCCUACGGGAGGCAGCAGUAGGGAAUCUUCCGCAAUGGGCGAAAGCCUGACGGAGCAACGCCGCGUGAGUGAUGAAGGCCUUCGGAUCGUAAAACUCUGUUAUUAGGGAAGGACAAAUGUGUAAGUAACUAUGCACGUCUUGACGGUACCUAAUCAGAAAGCCACGGCUAACUACGUG
rnacentral:rRNA from 1 species